rnacentral:rRNA from 1 species
GAGAGGGGAACAGCCCAGACCGCCCGCUAAGGCCCCCAAUUCCGCGCUGAGUGGCAAAGGAUGUGCGUUUGCCUAGACAACCAGGAUGUUGGCUUAGAAGCAGCCAUGCAUUCAAAGAGUGCGUAACAGCUCACUGGUCGAGUGGACAUGCGCCGACAAUACACGGGGCUAAGCGCGGAGCCGAAGCGGCGGGGCCGCGCCCUUUUUCGGGCGCGGCCGGUAGGGGAGCGUUCCGCGCAGGGGCGAAGCCGCCGGGGCGACCGGCGGUGGACCGCGCGGAAGCGAGAAUGCAGGCAUGAGUAACGAGAGAGGGGCGGGAAACCCCUCCGCCGUAAGCGCGAGGUUUCCUGGGCGAGGCUAAUCCCCCCAGGGUCAGUCGGGCGCUAAGGCGAGGCCGCAAGGCGUAGCCGAUGCCCAGCAGGCGGACAUUCCUGCACCGCCGCCGGACCGCUAGGACCGACGGGGCGACGAAGGAGGAUAGGCGGGCGGGGUUCUGGACGUCCCCGUGAAAGCGCGUAGGGCGGGCCGCAGGCAAAUCCGCGGCCCACGGAGCCUGAGACGCGAGACGAAGCCCUCGAGGCGAAGCCGCUCAUUCCAUGCUUCCGAGAAAAACCCCUAGGCAGGGCCGGCGGCGCCCGUACCUAAACCGACACAGGUGCGCGGGUAGAGCAUACCGAGGCGUUCGGGAGAACCAUGGCCAAGGAACUCGGCAAAACCGCCCCGUAACUUCGGGAGAAGGGGCGCCGCCGGGGGUGGAGGGGCGAGCCCCCCGAGCCCGCGGCGGCCGCAGCGAAUAGGCCCAGGCGACUGUUUACCAAAAACACAGGACUCUGCCAAGCCGCAAGGCGACGUAUAGGGUCUGACGCCUGCCCGGUGCCGGAAGGUCACGCGGAAGGGUCAGCGAAAGCGAAGCCCCGAAGCCAAGCCCCGGUAAACGGCGGCCGUAACUAUAACGGUCCUAAGGUAGCGAAAUUCCUUGUCGGGUAAGUUCCGACCUGCACGAAAGGCGUAACGACCUGGGCGCUGUCUCGGCCAUGGACCCGGUGAAAUUGCAUUAUUCGUGAAGAUGCGAAUUACCCGCGGAAGGACGGAAAGACCCCGUGAACCUUCACUGCAGCUUGGCAUUGGCCGACGGUUCGGUGCGUAGAGGAUAGGCAGGAGCCCGCGAAGCGGGGGCGCAAGCCCCCGCGGAGGCGCCCUUGGAAUACUGCCCCCAUCGCUCCGGCGGCCUAACGCGCGGCCGCCAUCCGGCGCGCGGACCGUGCCAGGCGGGCAGUUUGACUGGGGCGGUCGCCUCCCAAAAGGUAACGGAGGCGCGCGCAAGGUCCGCUCGGGACGGUCGGCAACCGUCCUGUGAGCGCAAGAGCACAAGCGGGCCUGACUGCGAGACCCACGAGUCGAGCAGGGACGAAAGUCGGCUCUAGUGAUCCGGCGGCCCCACGUGGGAGGGCCGUCGCUCAACGGAUAAAAGGUACUCCGGGGAUAACAGGCUGAUCUUGCCCAAGAGUCCACAUCGACGGCAAGGUUUGGCACCUCGAUGUCGGCUCAUCGCAUCCUGGGGCUGUAGUCGGUCCCAAGGGUUGGGCUGUUCGCCCAUUAAAGCGGUACGCGAGCUGGGUUCAGAACGUCGUGAGACAGUUCGGUCCCUAUCCUCUGUGGGCGUAGGAAAAUUGAGGGAGGCUGCCCCUAGUACGAGAGGACCGGGGUGGACGGACCUCCGGUGUACGGGUUGUUAACCAAUAGCAUUGCCCGGUAGCUGAGUCCGGUCGGGAUAACCGCUGAAAGCAUCUAAGCGGGAAGCCCAUCCCAAGAUGAGUUUUCCUUUCGGUAAGACCCCUUGUAGACUACGAGGUUGAUAGGAUGCAGAUGUAAGUGCUGUAAGGCAUUCAGUCGAGCAUUACUAAUCGGUCGAGCUCUUCUUUUC